GUCCGGAGUCUGCAGAAACACUCACUUGGCAAGGGCAGAGCUCAGUAAGCCACCUGGAGCUGAAUGGUGGUGGUCAGUAAAGCCAUGCCCCUGCCUCUGAAGUACAGCUCCUGGGAUUUCUCGAAACUUACCAAGUACCUAGCCCUUGGCUUCUCUCUCAUGAUAAGGAGGCUCCAUGCCUCAGAUUGUGCUUGGAGUAUCCCCAGGCUUGGCUAGAUUCACACACCCCCCCCAGAACCUGGAAAGAACAAGUUCUGCUUGCGGUAGGGAGGGCAGAGUGCAGGGCUCAGCCUCCCUCCAGGACGUGGAGCUGAGCUGAGGGAGGAAGGAACACAGCAUGGGGCUGGUAGGGGCGGCAGGAAAGUUCAAAGCCACCCACUGGGAGCUGACCCAGGGCCUUAGAUCUCCUGGGUGUGGGGUUGUGCCUGUGUUGUUCUGCAUCGUCUGGGCCCAGCACUAAUAGGCUACAGCUGCCCCAGGGUGGGGCCUAAUGCAAACCAGCAGCCUGCCUGGUCCCCUUUCCUAGCAUCAACAUCAUGACCUUGGCAUUCCAGGCCUUCCUGGCAGCUUGUAGAAUCCUCUCCUGCCCUGCUGGUUCAAGAGGAGACCCCAGACUCUCACUAGGGAUUCAGCCUGGCCCAUCCACCAUGAAUGUGGUGGGACUCCACGCUUCCUAGAGGUGGUGACCCCUGGGCCACUUUGAUAGAUGACUGGUUCUAAGCAUUUAUCCACCACAGAUCCUUCAGGCAUGAAAUGUGAGGUCAGUAGGGUUUUUUCUUCAGCUUCCCCUAGAAAUCUGGCCUGGUGGUAGACUUUAGUUGCUAGAGGACCUGGGUGACCUGGGGCUGUUGAAACACUCUGGGCCUGGCCUAAUGGGAGGCAGGUCUGAGAUGAGCACCCUUAGUUAUCUAUCACAUCUGGUUGCAGCAGUCACACAUACCCUUUUAGGGCUCAUGAGCUAAGGGGGCCACUGACCGCAGAUCAAACGUGCAAUCAGAGGCCCAGGGUCAGGGCCCAAGAUGCAGAGUACAGGAGUUUGUCCCUGAGACCUCAGGUCACUCCUUCCAUGUUUUCAUGGCUCUGCCUGGUUGAAGGGAUCCCCCUCACUGGCCUGGGUCUUUCCUGCAUGCUGUAGAGCUGAGCUAAAUGGAGCCCAAUGGGCCACAAAUGGUGAGUAGUGGGUCUGGGCCUCCAAGAGGCAGAGUGCUUGUCCCUGGCCCCUAACUUGGCCACAAACUAGCAUGGCCAGGCACAGCUUGGAAGCCACACCUCACAAGGUGGCAGGACUGGCUUCAGGUUUCCAAAACGACACUGGUUUUUAGUUGGUGUUGAUUGCUGCUACCCAUAGAGAGGUGAGCACCCACAGGGGGCCUCUGACCCACAAGGAGGGGAGGCUGCAGCAGGGUGGCACUGUGCUGUCAGAACUCUGAAAGAAAACAGACCAUGAAAGCCCUGGUCCCUGUGUGUGGCCACAAAGGCUCUUGCCUGUGCCUUCAGGCACUGAAGCCUCUCAGCACUACAGGGAUCAGGUGUCUUCAGGGUAUCCAGCUCCCUCCCAACACUAAAGAGACUGCAGCCUUCAUAGAGCCUAGCUGAGGUCCCCCCCCCCCCCUUGCCAGCUCACUCUUAAGCCCCUCCUGGGAAUGUGCGCUCUCACCUCUGUCUGUCUGCAGUAGCAGCAAUCAAUUCCAACUGCUAAAACCAGUGUCUUUUGGAAAUCCGAAGCCAAUCCCUGCCACCCUGUGAGGCAUGGCUUCCAAGGCUGCCACCUGGCCAUGCUAGUUUGCAAAAGUCCUUCAAGGCUGAACACUUGCUGCUAGGCUUCUAACACCAAGCAGAGCCUCCUUUCUCUUUCAGUAUUAUGACUGCAAAGAGGGGCAUUUUCCUUGAAUUCUUUUUUUUCUCUCCUACAAAUGGACACAUAUCUUUAUUUUGUUUAUUUUUAUGUGGUGUGAAGAAUCGAACCCAGUGCCUCCCAUGUGAGAGGCAAGCACUCUGCCACUGAGCCACAACCCCAGCUCUCCUUGAAUUCUUUCCGUCCAAUUAAUGCCUUCUGAAUUAGCUAAUUCAGAAGUCAAGACCAAAGCCCCUGACACAUUUCCCAAUAUGGCCCAACUAAUCAAGCUUAUCAGUAUCUCAGAAUGUAUAUAAAAACUCACUGCAAAAUAAGAACAUGAAGAACUUCCUGAGGGGAUUUCCCCACAGUUAACACACUCUACCGUUUUCUUUAAAAUUUAAAGCAAAACAUUCAGAUUUGACAAUUUUUGGUUGUCGAACUUGGGAGUCCAGUGUUAAUUUAGAACUCGAUAUCUGCAAGUGAAAAGUUAUGCUAAUUCACUAAGAAAACACAUUCCUUUGAGCUCUGAGGAGAAAGUUAAUUGUACUUGCCUGGGAAAUUCUCAUGUGUGUGUUAAAAAUAUCACCAUGAAUGCUGUCUCUGGAGGUGAGUGAGAAUCUGCCCCUCGCUUGCUUGCUGGCUGCCUGGUGCUUGCUGUGCUGCCUGGUAAACGGCUACUGGGGAAGGGGGAGAUGGAGAGUACACAGACUGUCCCUAGGCAGCAAAUCACAGAUGGGUUGGGCAUCUUUCCUCCUCAGCAGAGACAUCUGUAUGCAGGUCACUUCAGCUGGAUGACAAAGCCUAAAGGAAAUCUGGAAUUUCCAGAGGGAGAGCAAGCGCCAUUGAUGCCUAUUUCUGUAGGGUAACAGCUCUGUCUAACAUUCUCCCGGGCUCCAUUUCUUACCCCACCACUAAAUCACAGCUAGAAGACAGUAAGCUGCAAACAGAGAGAAGGUCUCUUCACUGG
rnacentral:lncRNA from 1 species